AUUGAACGCUGGCGGCAUGCUUUACACAUGCAAGUCGAACGGUAACAGGGAGCUUGCUCCGCUGACGAGUGGCGAACGGGUGAGUAAUAUAUCGGAACGUACCCAAGAGUGGGGGAUAACGUAGCGAAAGUUACGCUAAUACCGCAUACGAUCCAAGGAUGAAAGCAGGGGAUCUUCGGACCUUGUGCUCCUGGAGCGGCCGAUAUCUGAUUAGCUAGUUGGUGAGGUAAAGGCUCACCAAGGCGACGAUCAGUAGCUGGUCUGAGAGGACGACCAGCCACACUGGAACUGAGACACGGUCCAGACUCCUACGGGAGGCAGCAGUGGGGAAUUUUGGACAAUGGGCGCAAGCCUGAUCCAGCAAUGCCGCGUGAGUGAAGAAGGCCUUCGGGUUGUAAAGCUCUUUUGUCAGGGAAGA
rnacentral:rRNA from 1 species